rnacentral:rRNA from 1 species
GAUGAACGCUGGCGGCGUGCCUAAUACAUGCAAGUAGAGCGAAGAGACGAGAACCUUGCUCCUCUGACGUUUUCGGCGGGCGGGUGAAUAACACGGGGAUAACCUACCUAUAAGACGGGGAUAAAUUCGGGAAACCGGAUCUAAUACCGGAUAAUAUAUUGAACCGUAUGGUUCACUAGAGAAGGACGAUUUUGCUAUCACUUAUAGGUGGAUCCGCGUCGCAUUAGCUAGUUGGUAAGGUAACGGCUUACCAAGGCAACGAUGCGUAGCCGACCUGAGAGGUUGACCGGCAACACUGGAACUGAGAAACGGUCAAGACUCCUACGGGAGGAAGAAGUAGGGAAUCUUCGGCAAUGGGCGAAAGCCUGACGGAGCAACGCCGCGUGAGUGAUGAAGGUUUUCGGAUCGUAAAACUUUGUUAUUAGGGAAGAACAAAUGGGUAAGUAAAUAUGCACGUCUUGACGGUACCUAAUCAGAAAGCCACGGCUAACUACGUG